CCUUUCAACACAAAGGGAGUUUCAAAUGUCACAUUAAAUGAGCUCACAUAUGAGCCUGGCAUUGAAAUCAGAGUGUGCCAGGGAUUCUAUGGCAAGGGAUUAGUGGAAAAUUACACAACAGACAUGUGUAAGCAUGGCACCUGGCAGCCGGAUAGGCUGACCUUUAUUUUGCAGUUAGUGUCGGUUUUUAUUAAUCCCUUUAAUACAAAAUCUCAAAAAUAAGAAACAUAAAUGAAUCAGUCACACUGACAGUAAUCACAUAGUGUCCACUUCUUGGAGUCAGAGAGAACUAAUCAAGCUUAGGCCUGUGGUUCACCAUUUUGCUCAGACACUAAUACCUACAGUUCAUACCUUAACAGGCUUGUUAUGUCAUGAUCUUUCCAUUUGUCCAUUUACUAUUCUUCUAACAUUUUGUUGAUAUAUCAAUCCAUUUUUUUUUUUUUGGUAUGUUUUGAAGGGAGAUCAGCAUUGGUAGGUUGGGGAGGUAUAUCUACCUAGAUAUUAGGAUUACAUGCGUGACUAAUAUCACAUUAUUUGGCAACCGCUAUUUACAAGCCUUCCAGAAAUAGCUAUGGAUUUUUUUCCCUUUACUUACUUACAGUUUGAAUGCUUAAACACUAACAGUGAUUCUUGAAGCACUAUCUCAAUAGCUAGAAAAGGUUUGCAUGGGGGCUUGGUUUUUUUUUAGAAGGGAGAUCAGCAUUGGUAGGUCGGGGAGGUAUAUCUACCUUGAUAUUAAGAUUACAUGCGUGACAAAAGAGAAAAGUUUGAAAAAUUUGUUUUCUUUUUUAUCCCUAUAUAGUAUGUGUUUUGUUCACCAAGUGUGCUUUGACAAUACUGUUUAUUAUGGUCAUGGUGAUAAAGCAAGUCUAUUUGAACUGAACUGAACAGAGAGAGAGAGAGAGAGAGAGAGAGAGAGAGAGAGAGAGAGAGAGAGAGAGAGAGACCUUCACUUGAUAGAUUUGGCUGUCAGUUCACCGUAGGCAAAUUGUUGGUGUAAGGGCUAUCUAGAUAGUUUUGUUGUAUAGUUAGGUAGGUAACCUGUAGGUAUGUUUUUUUUUAUUAUGUCAACAUCAUUCGAUACAUUGUGCAAUACCCACUCAUUGAUUUACCUUGAGUUUUCUUCUUGAAGUAGCCAAGAAGGCGAGAUUGUUUUGUUUAAAAAAACUGGACCAUUUCAACUGGGUGCGCACCUCUUCCAACUUUUCAGGGCGAAAAUAC
ensembl:lncRNA